rnacentral:RNase_P_RNA from 1 species
GGGUAACACCCACCCGGGGUGACCCGCGGGACAGUGCCACAGAGAACAGACCGCCUCGUCGGCCCGGUUCGCCGGGGCGACGCGGUAAGGGUGAAACGGUGGUGCAAGAGACCACCAGCGCACCGGGUGACCGGUGCGGCUCGGCAAACCCCACCCGGAGCAAGGUCAGACAGGGAGCGUUCGAGGGCGGCCCGCCCGAGCUCCCGGGUAGACCGCUGGAGGCGUGCGGCAACGUACGUCGUAGAUGGAUGGCCGUCACCGGGCCGCGGGGAACCGCGGACCGGGACAGAACCCGGCGUAUCGACUGACUCAUCCG